rnacentral:rRNA from 1 species
AGCCACGGCUAACUACGUGCCAGCAGCCGCGGUAAUACGUAGGUGGCAAGCGUUAUCCGGAAUCAUUGGGCGUAAAGGGUGCGUAGGUGGCGUACUAAGUCUGUAGUAAAAGGCAAUGGCUCAACCAUUGUAAGCUAUGGAAACUGGUAUGCUGGAGUGCAGAAGAGGGCGAUGGAAUUCCAUGUGUAGCGGUAAAAUGCGUAGAUAUAUGGAGGAACACCAGUGGCGAAGGCGGUCGCCUGGUCUGUAACUGACACUGAGGCACGAAAGCGUGGGGAGCAAAUAGGAUUAGAUACCCUAGUAGUCCACGCCGUAAACGAUGAGAACUAAGUGUUGGAGGAAUUCAGUGCUGCAGUUAACGCAAUAAGUUCUCCGCCUGGGGAGUAUGCACGCAAGUGUGAAACUCAAAGGAAUUGACGGGGGCCCGCACAAGCGGUGGAGUAUGUGGUUUAAUUCGAAGCAACGCGAAGAACCUUACCAGGCCUUGACAUGGAAACAAAUACCCUAGAGAUAGGGGGAUAAUUAUGGAUCACACAGGUGGUGCAUGGUUGUCGUCAGCUCGUGUCGUGAGAUGUUGGGUUAAGUCCCGCAACGAGCGCAACCCUUGUCGCAUGUUACCAGCAUCAAGUUGGGGACUCAUGCGAGACUGCCGGUGACAAACCGGAGGAAGGUGGGGAUGACGUCAAAUCAUCAUGCCCCUUAUGGCCUGGGCUACACACGUACUACAAUGGCGACCACAAAGAGCAGCGACUUGGUGACAAGAAGCGAAUCUCAUAAAGGUCGUCUCAGUUCGGAUUGAAGUCUGCAACUCGACUUCAUGAAGUCGGAAUCGCUAGUAAUCGCAGAUCAGCAUGCUGCGGUGAAUACGUUCUCGGGCCUUGUACACACCGCCCGUCAAACCAUGGGAGUCAGUAAUACCCGAAGCCGGUGGCAUAACCGUAAGGAGUGAGCCGUCGAAGGUAGGACCGAUGACUGGGGUUAAGUCGUAACAAGGUAUCCCUACGGGAACGUGGGGAUG